GACGAACGCUGGCGGCGCGCCUAACACAUGCAAGUCGAACGGAGUUAUUUUGGCAGAAGCCUUCGGGUGGACGCUGAUAUAACUUAGUGGCGAACGGGUGAGUAACACGUGAGCAACCUGCCCUUCAGAGGGGGACAACAGUUGGAAACGACUGCUAAUACCGCAUAAGACCAUGGUAUCGCAUGAUACAGUGUGAAAAACUCCGGUGGUAUAAGAUGGACCCGCGUCUGAUUAGCUUGUUGGUGAGGCAACGGCCCACCAAGGCGACGAUCAGUAGCCGGCCUGAGAGGGUGAACGGCCACAUUGGGACUGAGACACGGCCCAAAACUCCUACGGGAGGCAGCAGUGGGGAAUAUUGCACAAUGGGGGAAACCCUGAUGCAGCGACGCCGCGUGAGUGAUGAAGUAUUUCGGUAUGUAAAACUCUAUCAGCAGGGAAGAUAAUGACGGUACCUGACUAAGAAGCACCGGCUAAAUACGUGCCAGCAGCC
rnacentral:rRNA from 1 species